UACGAAGGGGGCUAGCGUUGAUCGGAAUUACUGGGCGUAAAGGGCGCGUAGGCGGACAUCACAGACAGGUGUGAAAUUCCUGGGCUUAACCUGGGGACUGCGUCUGAGACGUGUGAUCUAGAGUGAGGAAGAGGUUCGUGGAAUUUCCAGUGUAGCGGUGAAAUUCGUAGAUAUUGGAAAGAACACCGGUGGCGAAGGCAAUGACCUGGUCCUUGACUGACGCUGAGGCGCGAAAGCGUGGGGAGCAAACAGG
rnacentral:rRNA from 1 species